UCAUGUGAUACUAUAGAGCUCUUAUUGUGGCCAGAUGACUUUACUGUUAAGGGCUCUAGCAAUUUAAUGGUAGUGAUAUUGUGUUGGCCGUUCUAGAUACACACACGUAUACGUACGUGUGUGUGUAUGUGUGCGUGCGUGCUACCUAUACCCACUCUCCUUAAUUGGCAAUGAUGUCAUGUGUACAUGUGCAGUGUGCAAUGAUAAAUUAGUACAUGUACCUUGUGUGGGCGCGUGUAGCUGGCAAUUCCGCUUAACUUUGUUCCUGACUGAAUGAAAACAUUGAGUGUCUCUCUAUAUACACUGGCUGGGUUUCUUUCCUGGAAGCAACUGUUUUCAAUAUCAUAACUGUUGACCAAUUUCAUUAUCAGUAGUCUUGAAGUGAUCAAACAGCUCAUAAUUAUAGUUAUAGAUAUGAUUUCGAGCACUCUUCUUGUAGCUGUUCUCCUGCUACUAACUGGAUGUGAAGCCACCGCAUACUUGUGUCCUGAACAAGAGCCAUGCCCUGUGGACCCGUGUCUGAAUGCAACCUGCUCCCCUUACCCGUACGCAGUCUGCAUACCCAACAACUGCAACGAAACAUGCCAGCCAUUGUUCUUCCACAAGCACAACCUUCAAAAAGACAUCACCGACAAAUGUAAUCGCACAUCUUGCUCGGAAAUGAAAUGUUCUGAAAAGCGUGUGUGUGUUGAAGAGAUGGUGCCGUUAACUUGUCGCCAUCAUAAGUGUGAACAUCAUGUGAGGCCUCGCUGCGUUUCAAAGCAUAUCCAUACAGCACCCUCUGAUUGUAGCAUGGUUGAGUGCCCAGCCGAAACUGUCUGUAACGUUGCGUAUACAAGGAAUGGUAAAUUAGCUAACUGUGUGAAUAAAAAGCCUACAAAUUGUUCUGAGCUUGGACCCUGUGAUAAUGGUAUGAUUUGCAAAGUGAAGCACGAUUCUGUUGCUCAAUGUGUUGCUAAACACUCUAAACAUCCUCUCGAUUGCUCUGGAGUGAGGUGCAAGAAGGGAUUCGAGUGUGCUCUGUUUGGGAGGAGACGUACUCGACCACGAUGUGUCAAGCAUGUGCCUGGUCCUGAUACGUGUGGCGAACUCGAUUGUCAAGCUUUGAAUAUGACCUGUGUACAAGAAAAGGGAGUCAAAGCGCAUUGUGUCUAUAAUUAAACUAUGAAAUAAUUAUACAUAAGUGAACGAAACAGUUCUUUAGACUUUUGAACACUGACUAUAAUAAUUAUUCUAUUGAAUCCUCUCUCUUUUUUUCUGUUGUUUUGGCUGAUUAUAAUGUGCGUAUCAACGAUAUCACACACUGUUUACAUUAGGAUUGAAUGUGAA